rnacentral:rRNA from 1 species
GACGGGGCCCGGCACAAGCGGUGGAGCAUGUGGUUAAUUCGAAGCAACGCGAAGAACCUUACCAGGCCUUGACAUGCAGAGAACUUUCCAGAGAUGGAUUGGUGCCUUCGGGAACUCUGACACAGGUGCUGCAUGGCUGUCGUCAGCUCGUGUCGUGAGAUGUUGGGUUAAGUCCGUAACGAGCGCAACCCUUGUCCUUAGUUACCAGCACGUUAUGGUGGGCACUCUAAGGAGACUGCCGGUGACAAACCGGAGGAAGGUGGGGGAUGACGUCAAGUCAUCAUGGCCCUUACGGCCUGGGCUACACACGUGCUACAAUGGUCGGUACAAAGGGUUGCCAAGCCGCGAGGUGGAGCUAAUCCCAUAAAACCGAUCGUAGUCCGGAUCGCAGUCUGCAACUCAACUGCGUGAAGUCGGAAUCGCUAGUAAUCGUGAAUCAGAAUGUCACGGUGAAUACGUUCCCGGGCCUU